AGGUCCAGCCUGCCCAGUGACAAAAUUCAACGGCCGCGGUACCCUAACCGUGCGAAGGUAGCAUAAUCACUUGUUCUUUAAAUAAGGACUUGUAUCAACGGCACCACGAGGGUUAAACUGUCUCCUUUUUCAUAUCAGUGAAACUAAUCUCCCCGUGAAGAAGCGGGGAUAAUUUUAUAAGACGAGAAGACCCCAUGGAGCUUUAAACCCACCUACACUCCGCUUAACUCUACCUUUAAACCUCUCGGAUCCUGUAUGUUCUGGUUUUAGGUUGGGGUGACCGCGGAGCAUAAACUAACCUCCACAAUGAAUAAAUUUUUUUCUUUAUCUAAGAUUAACACCUCUAAGAAUUAGUAUUCUAACAUAAAAUGAUCCGAUAUUCGAUCAACGAACCAAGUUACCCUGGGGAUAACAGCGCAAUCUACUUCAAGAGCCCCUAUCGACAAGUAGGUUUACGACCUCGAUGUUGGAUCAGGGUAUCCCAGUGGUGCAGCAGCUACUAAAGGUUCGUUUGUUCAACGAUUAAAACCCU
rnacentral:rRNA from 1 species